CGUAUGUAUACCAUGAGCAUGCCUAGUGCCCAAGCAGGCCAGAAGAGGGCACAGGGGAGCCCCUGAAACUGGAAUAAGUGAUGGUUGUGAGCCAUGUUGUGUAUGCUAGGAACUGAACCCCGGAUCUUCUGCAAGAGCAACAAAUGCUGUUAAGCACAGAGAUGUUCCUAACCCAUCAUGCCCAGCUUUAAAAGACAAAAACAAAAACCUGGAGAGGUGGUCAGGUGAUUCAGAGCACUUUCUGAUCACACAGACUUGGGUUCAGUACCCAAUAUCCACAUGAUGGUUCAUCACUGCAAAACCUCACAGGAGUACACACACGUCGAGAAAGAGAGAGAGACAGAGAGAAAGAGACACACAGAGAGAGAGAGACAGAGACAGAGACAGAGAGAUAGAGAGACAGACACAGACACAGAGAGACAGACACAGAAGCAGAGAGACAGACAGAGUGACAGAGACAGACAGAGGGACACACAGAGAGAGACAGAGAUAGACAGAGACAGUGAGACAGAGAGACACAUCAUGGUGUAUAUUUGGAGGUUGGUGGCCAAUUCAGGGCACAGCAGAACCUGAGGGUGGAGCGCCCCUUUAAGGGCUGAAGCUAUUUCUUUGACCCCCUAACAAAACAAGUUGGAGUCACCAGGGAACACUGGGAUCCAGGGAUCCCAUGCACUCUCAGCCUUUACUCUGAGAGAGCUCCCUUUCUGCAAUCUCCAGGGUAGUUCAUUUGCUGUCUACUUUCCCAAAGUCCCCCUGCAUGGGGGAAUAUUUGGGGUAGCGAAGUAAGAGACUGGGAGAGCGUAAAUCUCAAGGGAUUCUGGGGACCUUCUGACCUCCCAAGGAGAUGUCUGUCCUGUCCUGUGUCUAUUCAUUUCUCAGGUUCUCCGGGGACCUGGCCAGGUGAAGGACAGCUCACAGGCCAUGGUGUCUUCAGGACGACACCAAAGACAGCCUCACUAGGUCUGGUUUCCUCCAAAUGCCGGGUUAAAAACAAAAGAUGGCUCAGCAGGCAAAGGUGAUCACCCUCAAAGGUGAUGACCCAGGACCCACAAAAUGGAAGAGAGAUCAGAGCCUGAGAGUUGUUAUCCUCUGACAUUUGGGCACUUGUCAUGGCUUGUAUGUUCUCACAGAUACAUAUAGACCAUUCGAGAUAAAACUGAAAAAAAAAUGUACAGAAAUGUCAUCUGUUUUUUUUUUCCCUUAUUAUACAUAGUGCCCAUGCACUGGUUUAUCACACUGAAUCUUAUAAUAAUGACAAGAAAAGAUAGAGUCCUGCCCUACCUCAUAGUAACUUGCUACCACUUUACUUUUUUUUUUUUUGAUAGCCCCAGGCUGCCUAACACCAUUGGUCCCUUGCUGUGUGAACUGGGGAAGACUUACUCUACCUCUCUGGACGUGAAUCUGGGAAGUGGAGGCAGUGGACUGGAAGCCACAGCCGGGUGUGGCCAUUUUGAACUGUUCCUCUGCUCUGGGGGGCUGUGUCCUUUCUGGGCGGUGGGAAGGCUGGCUGAUGCUUCUGGAUGCUCCUCCCCUGACACUAGUUUCUUGAUGGGGGAUUUGCUGUGUGCUGUGGGCAUGACUUGGCCAUGGCUCACAUCAUCCCUCCUUCGAAGCUUUCCUCUCUGCCUCAGCAAAGAAUCAAAUGGAAUAGCAGAUAUUUGCUGAACCCCAAGGCGG
rnacentral:lncRNA from 1 species